GAUGAACGCUGGCGGCGUGCCUAAUACAUGCAAGUCGAGCGAACAGACGAGGGGCUUGCUCCUCUGACGUGAGCGGCGGACGGGUGAGUAACACGUGGAUAACCUACCUAUAAGACUGGGAUAACUACGGGAAACCGGAGCUAAUACCGGAUAAUAUAUUGAACCGCAUGGUGCAAUAGAGAAAGACGGUUUUGCUGUCAGUAAUAGAUGGAUCCGAGCCGGAUUAGCUAGUUGGUAAGGUAACGGCCUACCAAGGCAACGAUGCGUAGCCGACCUGAGAGGGUGAUCGGCCGCACUGGAACUGAGACGCGGUCCAGACUCCUACGGGAGGCAGCAGUAGGGUAUCUUCCGCAAUGGGCGAAAGCCUGACGGAGCAACGCCGCGUCAGUGAUGAAGGUCUUCGGAUCGUAAUACUCUGUUUUUAGUUAAGAACAACUGUGUAAGUAACUAUGCACGUCUUGACGGUACCUAAUCAGAAAGCCACGGCUAACUACGUG
rnacentral:rRNA from 1 species